CCCAGACAGCCAGGAUGUUGGCUUAGAAGCAGCCAUCAUUUAAAGAAAGCGUAAUAGCUCACUGGUCGAGUCGGCCUGCGCGGAAGAUGUAACGGGGCUAAACCAUGCACCGAAGCUGCGGCAGCGACGCUGAUGCGUUGUUGGGUAGGGGAGCGUUCUGUAAGCCUGUGAAGGUGGCCUGUGAGGGUUGCUGGAGGUAUCAGAAGUGCGAAUGCUGACAUAAGUAACGAUAAAGCGGGUGAAAAGCCCGCUCGCCGGAAGACCAAGGGUUCCUGUCCAACGUUAAUCGGGGCAGG
rnacentral:rRNA from 3 species